CCUGUUUAUCAAAAACAUAGCCUUAAGUAGCUUUUAAGGUAAUCCCUGCCCAGUGAGAAUUUUUAACGGCCGCAGUACUCUGACUGUGCUAAGGUAGCAUAAUCAUUUGGCUUUUAAUUGAAGUCUGGAAUGAACGGGUCUAUGGAAACAAGCUGUCUUACUUCUUUUUGAUAAAAUUUUAUUAAUGGGUGAAAAUGCCCAUGAGCAGAAAAAAGACGAGAAGACCCUAGUGAAUUUUUAUAAAAAGUAAUUUUAUCACCACUGUUUUUGUUGGGGCGACAUAGAAGCAAUAAAUUAACCUUCUAAAAGAUUAAUGUACAAGCCGAAGUUUUAAGUGAGAAUAAAUUACCAUAGGGAUAACAGCACAAUUAAUAAAUAGUUUGUGACCUCGAUGUUGGACUAGGAAGCAUUUUGGUUUAGACGUCAAAAUGUUAUGUUCUGUUCGAACAAUAAUAUCCUACAUGAUCUGAGUUCAAACCGGAGA
rnacentral:rRNA from 1 species